rnacentral:tRNA from 1 species
GGCAACGUGUGGGCCAGCGGCGCGGCCACGGCCGCCUUCGACGCGUUCGGAGACCAUGUGCCGGCCGAGACGUUCGACGACGUGCACACCGCUG